rnacentral:rRNA from 1 species
GUCGUCAGCUCGUGCCGUGAGGUGUUGGGUUCAGUCCCGCAACGAGCGCAACCCUCGCCCUUUGUUGCCAUCGGGUAAAGCCGGGCACUCUAAGGGGACUGCCAGCGACAAGUUGGAGGAAGGAGAGGAUGACGUCAAGUCAUCAUGGCCUUUAUGCCUAGGGCCACACACGUGCAACAAUGGCCGGUACAGACGGAGGCAAUGCCGAGAGGCGGAGCAAACCCGAGAAAACCGGUCCCAGUUCGGAUUGAGGUCUGCAACUCGACCUCAUGAAGUCGGAAUCGCUAGUAAUCGCAUAUCAGAACGAUGCGGUGAAUACGUUCCCGGGCCUUGUACACACCGCCCGUCACACCACGAAAGUUUGUGUACCCGAAGUCGGUGCCUUAACCUCGCAAGAGGAGAGAGCCGCCCAAGGUAUGGCCGAUGAUUGGGGUGAAGUCGUAACAAGGUAGCCGUAGGGAACC